CCUCGGAAACUUGAACACGGGCGUCCCGUCCUUCUCCGCUGCCACAGCUAACAGUGAGGAGGAGAUGUGAGAACUGCAGGUUGGACAGACGGAGCUCUCAGGCUUUUGGACCGUUCACCUGCCAGAACUCCCACACAGAACAAACGGAACAAAAACACAUCUGGCACCGUCCAAACUCGACUGCCCUGCACAGGUUCCUGAGGAGCAAAGGUUUGAGCGAUCAGCUGACACCUGGCAGCGAGACAGAACCCCGUCUGCAUAAUCACUCACUUCUUCUACUGAAGGAGAAAUUAAAACAGCUCCGGCCUGCAGAACU